rnacentral:miRNA from 1 species
GUGAACUUCUCCAUUGAUGUGUUAUAUAUAUAUAUAUAUAUGUGUGUGUGUGUGUGUGUGUGUGUGUGUGUGUGUGUGUGUGUAUACACACACAUAACAGAUGCACAUGUAUAUAGAUACAUAUA